rnacentral:rRNA from 1 species
UACGUAGGUGACCAGCGUUGUCCGGAUUUACUGGGCGUAAAGAGCGCGCAGGCGGUCGUUCAAGUCGAGUGUGAAAGCCCCCGGCUCAACUGGGGAGGGUCACUCGAUACUGAUCGACUGGAAGGCAGGAGAGGGAAGCGGAAUUCCCGGUGUAGUGGUGAAAUGCGUAGAUAUCGGGAGGAACACCAGUGGCGAAGGCGGCUUCCUGGCCUGUUCUUGACGCUGAGGCGCGAAAGCUAGG